GUCGAGCGGAAACGAGUUGUCUGAACCUUCGGGGAACGAUAACGGCGUCGAGCGGCGGACGGGUGAGUAAUGCCUGGGAAAUUGCCCUGAUGUGGGGGAUAACCAUUGGAAACGAUGGCUAAUACCGCAUAAUAGCUUCGGCUCAAAGAGGGGGACCUUCGGGCCUCUCGCGUCAGGAUAUGCCCAGGUGGGAUUAGCUAGUUGGUGAGGUAAUGGCUCACCAAGGCGACGAUCCCUAGCUGGUCUGAGAGGAUGAUCAGCCACACUGGAACUGAGACACGGUCCAGACUCCUACGGGAGGCAGCAGUGGGGAAUAUUGCACAAUGGGCGCAAGCCUGAUGCAGCCAUGCCGCGUGUAUGAAGAAGGCCUUCGGGUUGUAAAGUACUUUCAGCAGUGAGGAAGGUUCAUGUGUUAAUAGCGUAUUGAUUUGACGUUAGCUGCAGAAGAAGCACCGGCUAACUCCGUGCCAGCAGCCGCGGUAAUACGGAGGGUGCGAGCGUUAAUCGGAAUUACUGGGCGUAAAGCGCAUGCAGGUGGUUUGUUAAGUCAGAUGUGAAAGCCCGGGGCUCAACCUCGGAAUUGCAUUUGAAACUGGCAGACUAGAGUACUGUAGAGGGGGGUAGAAUUUCAGGUGUAGCGGUGAAAUGCGUAGAGAUCUGAA
rnacentral:rRNA from 1 species